rnacentral:rRNA from 1 species
UACGUAGGGCGCAAGCGUUUAUCCGGAAUUAUUGGGCGUAAAGAGCUCGUAGGCGGUUUGUCGCGUCUGCCGUGAAAGUCCGGGGCUCAACUCCGGAUCUGCGGUGGGUACGGGCAGACUAGAGUGAUGUAGGGGGAGACUGGAAUUCCUGGUGUAGCGGUGAAAUGCGCAGAUAUCAGGAGGAACACCGAUGGCGAAGGCAGGUCUCUGGGCAUUAACUGACGCUGAGGAGCGAAAGCAUGGGGGAGCGAACAGG